CGUGCGUAUGCACACGCACACAUGCGCAUCAUAUCUUCGUCGUCGUCGUCUUUCCUCUGGAACGUACAUCGAGCUCAGCCAUGAUUCGCAAGAAGGUACUUAGCAUCGGCAACAACUCCGCGACCCUUCUCGUGCAGGACACGGAGGCGGGCGGGGCGUUACGCGUGCUGCGCCGCAUGAAUGUGGCCGGAUGGGCCGCCGAGGAGGUGAGCGCGGCAGUUCGGAUGUACGAGGAGCUGCAGAAGCGCCGCCUGCGGGGCUUUGUGCCGAUCCACACCGUCCUCAUUCAGAGCUCCUUUCUCAGUGUCGUCGCUUCAUACGCCUCGGAGGGCGACGUCACGACCUUGAUUGAGGAGGAAGAGCACAACUCGCUCGAAGAGGCCAGCGUGCUGCGGUGGCUCUGCGCGUGCGCGCUGGCGAUUCGGCAGCUGCACUUGCACAAUCUCUUCUUCCCGGGACUUACAGGCGAUCGUCUUUUUCUGGACCACCACACAGGUGGUACGGCAAACCUCCUCCUAGGCGUGCCGCUGCCCCUCCCGGUCUACUAUUCGCAGCUGCAAGAGCGUAAGAAGAGCGGCCUGCGCGUAGAGCUCGACUAUCCACCCGAGGUUCUCGCGGCAGCUGCGGCACAUCCCAACGGCAGCGGCGAAGCCGCGAACCACAGCGCCAGGAGUGGCAGCGGCUAUCACCCCACACUGAGCGACGUCUGGUGUCUGGGCCGACUCGGCGUGGUGCUACUCACGGCAAAGGGUACAAACAUGGCGCGACGCUCGGGCACCGCACGCCAGCUUCUCUCUCGCAUGAUGGCAGACGAGCCAGCGACGCGACCGUCGAUGGAGAGCGUUGUCCAGUCACUAGUUGCCUUGGCUGGCGCCGUCAGCUUGGGCCAGCCUCCAUGGCCCUCACACCCGGCCACUGCUCCUUCUACCACCUCUGCGCAAGUCGCGUCCGCAAGCUCGGCUCCUGCCAUGUCGAGUAGACAGCCGCACAUCGCCGCAUCUGGAAGCGCUGGCGGGAAAGCUGCGAUCGUAGUGCAGUCGGCAGCUGCCGAAAACCGUAGCGCCGGCGGAGGGGCGCCCAAGGCCCAGUGCACGACGAAGGGUGCCUCGCACGGGUGUGCCUCCAGUCCACCACCAAGCUCCACCACGUCCUCGACUCCGCCCGAUGUGCCGUCCACUCGCGUACAUAAUAGUCAGCGCCACUCGGCCGGGACACCUGCCACCGUAGAACACUCGUCACCGCCACCACCGAUGUCGGUACCCACCCCGCACCUCGACCACCCCGGGCGUCUCACGCACGCGCCGGACGACAGCUGGCAUCGCCGUGCAGGGGAGAAGUUUGAGCUGCUGCAGCGCAUGAAUGCGAGUCCGCCGAAGCAGCACGCCUUCAUCGGAGGUGGCGAGACACCGCAAGGGACUUCACGCGGCGAGCACGGUCAUCACCGCCUUCGCGGGUCGACAAGCAACCUCCUCAACACGAAGUCGCCCAGCCCGCGACGCAACAGCCGAGGUGGCCUCAUUGACCACAACACGCGCGUGCUGGACGAGAUUUUCGCGGAGCAAGGGGAGCUGCUGCGGAAAGCUGGGAUAUGGCACCUGUCGCCGCGGCGGCGCAUGGACGAUGCCAAGCAGUUUCAACGAGAAACGCUACGGCAGCUGAGGCUGGAGACGGCAGCGCGCCAACAGGAGAUGCGAAAGCACUUCACUGAGUGGCAGCGGCAGAACAAUCAGCGGCUCACCGACGCCAACAACGUGGAUGUGAUCGACCAGGACGGCAUCGUCAUCGUCGCUCCUCGCCCCGCCCCACCACACGAGUUUCUCCCAGUCGCCACGGCCGCGCCUGCCGCUGAGGAGGAGGAGAUGGACACUAGUGUGGAGCCCCCGAAGUCGAGGACUCAGUUCACGGAGGACGCUCAGAGUGACGCGUCGGCUUGCCAGACACCACUGCCCGCCUCACCGCCACCACCAAACUCGGCUUCACGGCCGGCAACACCGCGUACCAAAACGCCAGCCGGCGGCAGCACCCCGGCGGCCGCGGUCAACGCGUAUUCCACUCGGUACAGUGGAAACAUGCCGCGACCUUCGCACACAUCCCUGUCGACACAGGAGGCGUAUGGUGCACGUGGGGCCGGAUUCUCUGCGCUGCCGCUGCGCGGUGCCACUUCCCCACGUCUGCCGCCGCCGCCGCCGGACCCCGUGCAGCCGUACCCUCUUCGGAGUAGCGACUCCUCUGGACAGGCCACCAGCCCGUCGAACGACAGCGAUGAGCGCCCCAUGCACAGCGCCGACGGCGGCGGCCGCUCGGCGUUGAAGAGCUCGACGGAUGUGGGCACCCUCUCCGCUGUUGAGUGGACGAUUGACGGCAUCCGCAGCACCCUGCGUAUGCUGCUGCGGAACCGCAACCUCUACGGCGAGACCAUGCAGGAGGUGGCGCUGUUUAUCAGUCAGCCGGAGGAGGCUCGGCUGGCGGCGCGCGCGAAUGAGAUUUUCAUGAAGCGACUGCGCAAGUUGCUCCGGGAUGACGCGCUCUUCUUCGGCGCGGUGCCGCUCUGUGCGCAACUGGCGGCACUGGAAGGACUCGACCACACCCUGCGCGAUUCCUCCAGCGGCCUCCCUUCUCGGCAGAGGUAUUAGCCAGUGAUGCAGACAUAGCGGAGGGGGAGGGGGUGAUAUGCGCCCAGCAUCCACGGCGCAGACCGCUCUCUCUCUUUCGCUCGCGCGCCUCCCUGUAGUUCUUGGGGUGCCGGAGUCUCAUGCUGCCGCACGCAGAGGCGCGCCCUGCAUACUUAUCGCACCCCACACGCCCACACUCCCAUGUACUGGCAUGCACGUCAGCCUCUCCUCUACGGAUUCUUUCUCUACAGACGUUGCCGCAUUUCCGCUUCCUUUCCCUUGUCAGUUCCGGGGUUGUUUCCUCGUGGGCUGAUUGCAAGGCUGCACGGAUUUCCGAUUCGUCGCUGCUUGAUUAUGCACGACGCCACUGCCGGCGGCUGCGCUGCUUCCGCCGUGAGCGUAGUGCGUAUAUCGGUGCAUGUAUGCCUGGCUGUGUGGCUGCACCUGCUGAGAAGUCGAGAGCACACCUAUUCGUUGUCGGGCACUCUCUACGCUUGUUCGACACCGUCCGCUGGACGCGCAGACGCGUUUCCCUCCUCUCCGUUCCGGUCCCGCCGCCCCUCCCCGGAACCGGCCAGCAGCCCUUCCUGCCCCUUUUUGCGGUUUCAGCCAAACGAAAGAAUGUGUGUUGUGUUAUUUUUCCUUUUUUUGUAUCUCUUUCUGUGUGUGUGUGUGUGCCUGUCCGUCCGUCUGUCUCUCUGGGCUCUGCCCCUCCUCUCUCCUCCAUUUCCCGCUGUAUGAUGGCUUCUCGCGCCAACCGUCAGUUGUGUAGGGUGUAAGAUGUGUGCGUGUGUUGUGCCUUCCUUCAUCUGCCACGCCCAAACGGCUACAUGCGUGCAACCUCCUCCUUUGCUUCGCUUCUCUGUGUUUGCGUGCGUUUCCACAUGUUGAUUUCUUCUUUAUUACAUCUUUUUGUUGUUGUUGGUUGGUUGAUGGUGCCGACGCGUCGGUAUGCGCACAUGUGCAUGUGUGCUUUCCGUGUAGGCGGUGGGAUGCAUGUCGGCCCCUUUAUCUCUGCCUCUCCGGCCACCUGCGCGCCAUCUGUGGUCUCUGGUUGACCUUUCUUCUCUCUUGUGUCCAAUGCCUCCGUCACCUCCGUCUCUCUGCCCCGUCUCUCUCCUUUCUCGCUGACGCCUUUCCUUUGUAUCGUUUAUUUAUUUCCGUCCGUGUCGGCUCCUCUCGUGUCCUCUCUCUCGCUCUCCGUCACACAAAACAGCGCGUGCUUGCACAUGACCUGGACGUGCGACACCGCCUCGGAAGAGUACAUGCGCACCGGAAAGGGCCCGAAAAG
rnacentral:misc_RNA from 1 species